AUUGAACGCUGGCGGCAUGCUUUACACAUGCAAGUCGAACGGCAGCGCGGGCUUCGGCCUGGCGGCGAGUGGCGAACGGGUGAGUAAUGCAUCGGAACGUGCCCAGUAGUGGGGGAUAGCCCGGCGAAAGCCGGAUUAAUACCGCAUACGACCUGAGGGUGAAAGCGGGGGGCCGAAAGGCCUCGCGCUAUUGGAGCGGCCGAUGUCGGAUUAGCUAGUUGGUGGGGUAAAGGCGUACCAAGGCGACGAUCCGUAGCUGGUCUGAGAGGACGACCAGCCACACUGGGACUGAGACACGGCCCAGACUCCUACGGGAGGCAGCAGUGGGGAAUUUUGGACAAUGGGGGCAACCCUGAUCCAGCCAUGCCGCGUGCGGGAAGAAGGCCUUCGGGUUGUAAACCGCUUUUGUUCGGGAAGAAAUCCUCUGGGCUAAUACCCCGGGGGGAUGACGGUACCGGAAGAAUAAGCACCGGCUAACUACGUG
rnacentral:rRNA from 1 species